GGCAGCCACGUCAGCAUUUAACAGAUCAAUGGAUGAAAAAUGUAACGGUUGUAUGAAAUUGAAAUAAAAUAGUACUUGAGGUAUGAAAGUGAAAUGUUUUAAAGAUGUUGUAUAAGAUUGCAAUAGACUUCAAAGCUGAAGGGCUACUAUGUAAUUUACCCUAUUAUUUUUUACGUUAGAUUUAAUUUUGAAGCGUCAAAUAUUUUUUUUACCAUUAGAUUUGAUCUCAUUUGAUCACAACCGUUGGAUUAUAAGUAAAAAACCCAAAAAAGAUUGAAAUAUGACAGUUUUGUAAGUCCAGAAUAAUUUAAGCCAGACUUAAUUUAUGGGGGGAAUCUAGAUUGAAGAUAUAUUUUCCUUAUUAACCCAAUGGUUGGAGAUGGUUGGAAAUGGUUGGGGGGGAGUUUGAAGCUUAUAUUGUAAGCUCUAUCCUAUGAGUUGGAGAUGAUCUUAGAGCACUUCCAGUGUUGUAAGGCCCCCUGGGCAUUGGACAACUCAAUCUUCUUAAAUGAACAGUAACUGUCUAUAGUGAAUAGUAAUUGUUCAAGUCAAUCUCUACCCCUAAACUGAAUAGCCCAAG
rnacentral:lncRNA from 1 species